rnacentral:rRNA from 1 species
CACGUAGGGCGCAAGCGUUGUCCGGAAUUAUUGGGCGUAAAGAGCUCGUAGGCGGUCUGUUGCGUCCGCUGUGAAAACCCGGGGCUCAACCCCGGGCCUGCAGUCGAUACGGGCAGACUAGAGUGUGGUAGGGGAGACUGGAAUUCCUGGUGUAGCGGUGAAAUGCGCAGAUAUCAGGAGGAACACCCGUGGCGAAAGCGGCGCGCUGGACCACUACUGACGCUGAGGCGCGAAAGCCAGGGGAGCAAACGGG